rnacentral:rRNA from 1 species
AUGCACGCUGGCGGCGUGCCUAAUACAUGCAAGUCGAGCGAACAGAUGAGGAGCUUGCUCCUCUGACGUUAGCGGCGGACGGGUGAGUAACACGUGGAUAACCUACCUAUAAGACUGGGAUAACUUCGGGAAACCGGAGCUAAUACCGGAUAAUAUAUUUAACCGCAUGGUUCAAUAGUGAAAGACGGUUUUGCUGUCACUUAUAGAUGGAUCCGCGCCGCAUUAGCUAGUUGGUAAGGUAACGGCUUACCAAGGCAAAGAUGCGUAGCCGACCUGAGAGGGUGAUAGGCCACACGGGAACUGAGACACGGUCCAGACUCCUACGGGAGGCAGCAGUAGGGAAUCUUCCGCAAUGGGCGAAAGCCUGACGGAGCAACGCCGCGUGAGUGAUGAAGGUCUUCGGAUCGUAAAACUCUGUUAUUAGGGAAGAACAAAUGUGUAAGUAACUAUGCACGUCUUGACGGUACCUAAUCAGAAAGCCACGGCUAACUACGUG